AUUUUAAAUAGCUUAAGU
rnacentral:tRNA from 1 species